rnacentral:rRNA from 1 species
UAGUCCACGCCGUAAACGAUGAGAACUAGAUGUUGGGAGGAAUAGCCUUUCGGUGUCGCAGCUAACGCAUUAAGUUCUCCGCCUGGGGAGUACGCCGGCAACGGUAAAACUCAAAGGAAUUGACGGGGACCCGCACAAGCGGUGGAGCAUGUGGUUUAAUUCGAUGCAACGUGAAGAACCUUACCUGCCCUUGACAUACAGAGAACUUUCCAGAGAUGGAUUGGUGCCUUCGGGAACUCUGAUACAGGUGCUGCAUGGCUGUCGUCAGCUCGUGUCGUGAGAUGUUGGGUUAAGUCCCGCAACGAGCGCAACCCUUGUCCUUAGUUGCCAGCACGUAAUGGUGGGAACUCUAAGGAGACCGCCGGUGACAAACCGGAGGAAGGUGGGGACGACGUCAAAUCAUCAUGGCCUUUAUGCCUGGGGCUACACACGUGCUACAAUGGUAGGUACAGAGGGCAGCGAAGCGGCGACGUGGAGCCAAUCCCUUAAAGCCUAUCCCAGUUCGGAUUGG